CCAGAGUUUGAUCCUGGCUCAGAUUGAACGCUGGCGGAAUGCUUUACACAUGCAAGUCGAACGGCAGCACGGGGGCAACCCUGGUGGCGAGUGGCGAACGGGUGAGUAAUACAUCGGAACGUGCCCAGUCGUGGGGGAUAACGUAGCGAAAGUUACGCUAAUACCGCAUACGAUCUCUGGAUGAAAGCGGGGGACCGCAAGGCCUCGCGCGAUUGGAGCGGCCGAUGUCAGAUUAGGUAGUUGGUGGGGUAAAGGCCUACCAAGCCGACGAUCUGUAGCUGGUCUGAGAGGACGACCAGCCACACUGGGACUGAGACACGGCCCAGACUCCUACGGGAGGCAGCAGUGGGGAAUUUUGGACAAUGGGCGCAAGCCUGAUCCAGCCAUCCGCGUGCAGGAUGAAGGCCCUCGGGUUGUAAACUGCUUUUGUACGGAACGAAAAGGCUCUGGUUAAUACCUGGGGCUCAUGACGGUACCGUAAGAAUAAGCACCGGCUAACUACGUGCCAGCAGCCGCGGUAAUACGUAGGGUGCAAGCGUUAAUCGGAAUUACUGGGCGUAAAGCGUGCGCAGGCGGUGAUGUAAGACAGAGGUGAAAUCCCCGGGCUCAACCUGGGAACUGCCUUUGUGACUGCAUCGCUGGAGUGCGGCAGAGGGGGAUGGAAUUCCGCGUGUAGCAGUGAAAUGCGUAGAUAUGCGGAGGAACACCGAUGGCGAAGGCAAUCCCCUGGGCCUGCACUGACGCUCAUGCACGAAAGCGUGGGGAGCAAACAGGAUUAGAUACCCUGGUAGUCCACGCCCUAAACGAUGUCAACUGGUUGUUGGGUCUUCACUGACUCAGUAACGAAGCUAACGCGUGAAGUUGACCGCCUGGGGAGUACGGCCGCAAGGUUGAA
rnacentral:rRNA from 1 species